GUGAAGAUAAUUGAAGAAAACCUUCCUGAGCCGAUUAUUCGAGUGAAAUCAAUUUUCACUGAUAUUAUUAAAGCUUUAAAAUUCGAUUUGCUUAAGCAGUACGAGCAGUACUUGCAGAUUACUGACUCUGGAAGUCUACGCCCUCCAACUUAUGAGGAUGUUCAGUUGUGGAUCUCCAACGCAUUGCUUAAUUCUUACACUUUGCCUCCUGUAACACCAGAAAAUCUUGAAGAGAGCGUUAGUGAACUCAGCUCUUUUUUUAGCUCUGUUAGCGUAGCUAACAACGGCGAC